UCCAGUUUAUCACUGGCAGUCUCCUUUGAGUUCCCGGCCGGACCGCUGGCAACAAAGGAUAAGGGUUGCGCUCGUUGCGGGACUUAACCCAACAUUUCACAACACGAGCUGACGACAGCCAUGCAGCACCUGUCUCACGGUUCCCGAAGGCACAUUCUCAUCUCUGAAAACUUCCGUGGAUGUCAAGACCAGGUAAGGUUCUUCGCGUUGCAUCGAAUUAAACCACAUGCUCCACCGCUUGUGCGGGCCCCCGUCAAUUCAUUUGAGUUUUAACCUUGCGGCCGUACUCCCCAGGCGGUCGACUUAACGCGUUAGCUCCGGAAGCCACGCCUCAAGGGCACAACCUCCAAGUCGACAUCGUUUACGGCGUGGACUAC
rnacentral:misc_RNA from 1 species